GCAGGGGUAGCGACCCGGUCAACCGCGGAUUAACAAAGCGGAAAGGACUCAAGAUCCUCUCCUCUAGAGGUUCAUGGGUUCAAAUCCCAUCCCCUGCA
rnacentral:tRNA from 1 species